rnacentral:rRNA from 1 species
AGUGAACGCUGGCGGUAGGCCUAACACAUGCAAGUCGAACGGCAGCACAGUAAGAGCUUGCUCUUACGGGUGGCGAGUGGCGGACGGGUGAGGAAUACAUCGGAAUCUACUUUUUCGUGGGGGAUAACGUAGGGAAACUUACGCUAAUACCUCAUACGACCUACGGGUGAAAGCAGGGGAUCUUCGCACCUUGCGCGAUUGAAUGAGCCGAUGUCGGAUUAGCUAGUUGGCGGGGUAAAGGCCCACCAAGGCGACGAUCCGUAGCUGGUCUGGGAGGAUGAUCGGCCACACUGGAACUGAGACACGGUCCAGACUCCUACGGGAGGCAGCAGUGGGGAAUAUUGGACAAUGGGCGAAAGCCUGAUCCAGCCAUACCGCGUGGGUGAAGAAGGCCUUCGGGUUGUAAAGCCCUUUUGUUGGGAAAGAAAAGCAGCAGGUUAAUACCCCGAUGUUCUGACGGUACCCAAAGAAUAAGCACCGGCUAACUUCGUG